rnacentral:piRNA from 1 species
UUUGUAAUACAUAGUUGAGAG